CACAAAUCAGUGAGUGUGUGACCUCGCGGGGCCAAGCCACUGCCGCACAAUCCUUCAAAGAGUUUUACUUCUGUCCCUGCAGGCAGUGCUGGUGCCCAGCAUCUUCCCCACCUGCCUCAAGUCCAGGCUGGGCUCCCGGAUUCCGCUCCCACGCAGCCGAGCGAACAGGAGCGCGCCUGCGCGGCGUGGGCCUGAAGCUUGCGGAGCUGCCCGUGUGCGCAUGCGCGCAUUUCUGGCGCUCCCGUCUCGCGGGCAGCCACAGGCGGGCGUCACUGCCACGUGGUCGGCUCUGCCUGCUGCUCCCGGCGCCGUGGAGUAGUUGCCGGUAACCCGCUGCGUUGUGUACACGUAUGGCCUUACGAAUCUCAGAAUACUGAGAUCUCUGUUUUCCGACUGGUGCACGAGAUGGGGUAUGUUGGGGCAGACAGCAAAGACUCAGCGGAAGACCGAAUCAGGCACAGCACCAGUGAACCAAGGAGCGACUCUUCAUAUCAGAGAUGGAAAAUCAGGUCAGGAAAUCAACAUGAUAAUACUUGGCACGUUAAGCUUCCUAUUAAGAUGCUUCCGAUUUUUUCAUGGCAUUGUUCUAAAACGAAGUCUCCACAUUUUACACUUUGCUGAUUCAGAUUUAUCCGGGAAUAAUCAUUAUGCCAGGUGGUAGAGACAAGAGGGGUCUGGAGUUUGAAGCACUGCGCUGUUUGAAUAGAAGAAAUUUCAUUCAACUAUGUGGAACCAGAUGCAUUUUUUUUUCUCAGAUAGUAGUGUUUCUAUUCUGGUACAAACCGUCAUUUUCUGAUUCUUCAUUCUCUCUUUUUCUUUUCUUUUGGAGGAGGACUGCUGAAAAUGUCAAAUAUACUUACAUGUAACUAGCAGUUCCACAUUAUUUUGCCUCAUACCUUGAGAAUAUGAUUGCAGUAGUAAUGAUGGAAUUCAAAAUUGUACUUUCUGAAAUUCCUCUCUUUGUAAAGUUAUAAGCAUAUUGUAUUUCUUAAAUGUUGCUGUGAAAACUGAUUAGAUGAAUUUUGGCAGUUCUCACUAAAUGAGGAUCUGAAUAUAAGGGGUCCAGAAUGAUAUAUCUUAAGUCCUCUUCUGAAUCAAUAAAUAAGAUUUCAGUGUUAUUCA
rnacentral:lncRNA from 1 species